CAGUGUACCCUUUGAUCCUCUUUAGUUCAACCAAAUGAACUAAAAUUUUAAAAUGACACAACUUUUUGAAACCUAGUUCAUUUGUUUGAACUAUAGAAGAUCAAAAGGUACCUUG
rfam:Brachypodium distachyon strain Bd21 chromosome 1, whole genome shotgun sequence.